UUCAAAAUAUGGCUUUCUCUGGAUAUAUGUGCAAGGGUGAGAUUGAUGGGUCAUAUGGUAGUUCUAUUUUUAAUUUUUUUGAGGAGGCCUGAGUUCUUAAAGAAAGGAGCUGAGAGAAAAUCUGAAAAAGGCUAUGAUCACCAAGGACUUUGGAAGAGAAAGGGCAUUAGGAUCCAGAAGACAAAAGGUAGCCCCCAGUGAGGGUAGAGGCAUUGUCCCCAUCUCUGCAUGGGAGACAGCUGAAAUGUGAACCAAGCAUGAGGGGCAACUGACUGAGCUUGAGAAGAAAAUAUAGUCUCAGUCCCUCUCCUGGCCCAUUUUGCUCCUGUCUUUUAGCUCUACCUUUGCUUACUGGCUUAAACUUGCCUCUUCUUUUUGAAGCAUGUCAGUCUGGAAAACUGAGUACUAAGAAUUCUCUACUCUGAACCUGUUCUAGAGACACUGGCUGCCAGUCAGGCUGCCUACUGCAGAGAUUUAUCCCCUGUUAAAUUGUUUCCUAAAAUUUUUGAAAACAGCAUGAAAAAGCUUUAAACAAAUACAACACAGUAUUUUUUUCCUCCACCAUUAAGGAAACAUUUUGAAAGUCAAAACAACAACAACAACAACAAAAAACCCAGACACCUGGCAUCCUUGAAGCUCGAGAGCAGCAGAGAUCAACAGGGGAGACCUGAAAUAGAAAUGCCCAAGUGGUCGGUGUGGGAGCCCAUGUCAAAAGCCUGGUAGGAGGCUACAUUCCCACAUAUGUUCCUGGGGAAAGAUUUUGAUUGGCCCAAGCUGGGUUAAGGGCUCAUCCUUCAAUCAAAGGGCCAAACAUCUUUCAGAUCCCAGGUCAGAGGUCACUCCCUUGGGGGAAAUCAGAAGACUUUAAAGAGGUUGAAAAGCCAGGAUUUCCUCACAGAAAGGAGCCACGUGGGAUACUCUUAGGACCGUCACAUUCUCCUAAUUCCCACCAGAACAUUAACAAACCAUUUCCCUGAUUUGAUCAGCAGGAGUCCAAGGACCUAUAGUUCUGUAUACUUUCCCGAGCACACAAAAGAAUCCUUCACAUUGAGAAAAUCCACUGUUCUAAAUGUGCGUUUAUUACACGAGCCAGGUUUCUAUGCACUCUGCUGAGAAUAAAAAUGGGAGGGAUACAUAAUGUGUUCUAGGAGUCAUCAUUAGUGUAUGAGGAAUUUGGAUGUGUAUUAAUUUACUUAAUUAUGUUA